AGCUAUAGCGCAAGUGAAGAGAAAGCUAUAUGCGUUAAAAACUGAACAAACAAAGCUUUUAACUAGUAGCAAAAUCACUACAGUACUGAACUCCGGAGAUUUAAUAGCAACCCACAGAGCACACUUGGCUACCCUUCAGAAUACUCUACGAAAGCAGCAUAUCAAGAAAUUACAAUGGUUGUUUAAGAUGCAACUGCCAGAUAAGAGGCCAACGAACUCUUUUGACCUCCAAGAAGUCCUUACAUUAAUUGGCGACAUUCGAAUUCCUAAGCAAAUGGAACAGCUCCUAAAGAAAGGUCCGUCUUAUGCGCUCAAGCCGCUAAUAAACCCGAUGAAUGUCAUACCGACUAUUGAGAGAGUUUUGGGAGGUGUGGAGGGAUUGGAGGGGGAACGAGCU
rnacentral:lncRNA from 1 species